CCCUUAGAUGUUCUGGGCUGCACGCGCGCUACACUGACACACUCAACGAGUUCCUAGCUUGAAAGGGUUGGGUAAUCAUUUGAGCGUGUGUCGUGAUGGGGAUAGAAUAUUGUAAUUAUUGCUCUUUAACGAGGAAUUCCUAGUAGGCGUACGUCAUCACCCUGCGUUGACUAAGUCCCUGACCUUUGUACACACCGCCCGUCGCUCCUACCGAUUUCGAGUGAUCCGGUGAAUCAUUCGGACCGCGGCCCCUAGGCAUGCGGAAAGUCUAGUAAACCAUAUCACUUAGAGGAAGGAGAAGUCGUAACA
rnacentral:rRNA from 1 species